ACAUAUUCAAGAAAUGUGUAAGGGGAGCCUUAAAAGGAAAGACUAUAUUGCUAGUAACUCAUCAAGUAGACUUCCUUCACAACGUUGAUCGCAUCUUGGUUAUGCGAGAUGGAAUAAUCGUGCAAUCAGGAAGAUACGACGAACUAGUGAGCUCCGGGUUAGAUUUUGGGGA